rnacentral:rRNA from 1 species
AGUGAACGCUGGCGGUAGGCCUAACACAUGCAAGUCGAACGGCAGCACAGUAAGAGCUUGCUCUUACGGGUGGCGAGUGGCGGACGGGUGAGGGAUACAGCGGAAUCUACUUUUUCGUGGGGGAUAACGUAGGGAAACUUACGCUAAUACCGCAUACGACCUACGGGUGAAAGCAGGGGAUCUUCGGACCUUGCGCGAUUGAAUGAGCAGAUGUCGGAUUAGCUAGUUGUCGGGGUAAAGGCCCACCAAGGCGACGAUCCGUAGCUGGUCUGAGAGGAUGAUCAGCCACACUGGAACUGAGACACGGUCCAGACUCCUACGGGAGGCAGCAGUGGGGAAUAUUGGACAAUGGGCGCAAGCCUGAUCCAGCCAUACCGCGUGGGUGAAGAAGGCCUUCGGGUUGUAAAGCCCUUUUGUUGGGAAAGAAAAGCAGCAGGUUAAUACCCCGCUGUUCUGACGGUACCCAAAGAAUAAGCACCGGCUAACUUCGUG